UGUCUGCUGUCUUCAGCUGCCGUUGCCUUUUCUUCUCCUCUCGGUUUAUUCUUUUUUUUUCUUGUGUGUCUGUUUCGUUUUUAUGUUUUUUUGUUGGUUUUGGCGCUGUCGGAAAAUGUCCGUUGCCAUUUCCAUUGCAGCCGUCUUCCGUUUGGGCGCUGUCCCUCCGUCGUUUGCCAUGCCCCCGUGUAAUUAGCUGGGUUCCCUAUCUUCGACAUUGUCUGGCAUUUCUCGGGUAUUUAUGUACUUUGCUGCAGACAGGACAAGCUACAUACAAUUUGGUUCAAAUGCCAUUGAUCUUGAACUUGAUUCAACUCAUAAGUGCAUUCAUCAGACAAAUCUGUCGACAGACAUGCGUUUAUUUCCUUGACUCGUCGCCAGCAAAUAAUUUCAAGCUUGAGUUCGCAUUCAGUGGACUAGAAAGAAAGUCAAUGUCGAAGAGCCUCUAUUAAAUUAGCAUUUCGCUGUCGCCCUGGCACGCUCUUCCGAGUAAUGCCCAUUCCCAUGUCCCAGUCUCCACUGCAACUCCGGAUCCGGACGAGACGGCAUAUCUCCGGUGCUUGGCCAGCUGAUGAUGAUGACUGGAGAUUUCUGGCAGCGAACGGCGCCAGAGAAUCGUAAAAUAUUUUUAUACAAAUAUCGCAGCAGUUAGAACAAAAGAUUUGAUUUGAAAAUGUAACGCUUCACGCCUGCAAAAAUACCGACAAAGAAAUGUCACACAAAAGACAGUGGGAUGCAAGCAGAUCUCUGUUCAGAUACACUAGGUGGACCUUCGGAUAAAUCAGGUGUAAUUGCGUCAUGCGGGUGCAUGGUAAACUAGAUCGACAGUAAACCUAAUCGAGACAGAGACACAUAAGUUGACGCGACAUCGGCACAGCCCAUAAAGUGACCACGCUCCUUGGAUUCCAAGGAUUCCCAGGACAGGUCGUUUUGCGGUGUGUCUCGCCUUGCUGGGUGUGAAGUGUCCCGUGGGCGGCGGUGUCUUUAGUUGCUCAAGAUGCAUGUACCUGAGCACAGUCGUCUGUCGCCAAUUGAAGUAAUAAUUUUCUAUUGUCCUUCGUCGCGCCUUCCUCCAUAAAGCAAAUGUACUUCAGAGCACUGAGAAGGACGCGACAAGUGGCUGGCUCUGGGUACUCUGUUCGGUUCAAGUAGCCAAGUGGCGCCAGACGAUCCAAGUCCCUCGGCCAGAGGACAUCUUUGUGAGUCCGCUAUCUGCCGCCUUGGAUCUGCAGAUGCUGAACGGUAGCGGUCAAGCUGCCAGAGGUUGACAACGACAUAUGUUCGUGCUGGAUAAGAUUGGGCCAGAGAAGAUUAGCUGCCGGGGAGAAGGGAUUUGGAUUGGGUAUACGGGUGGACGGAAGCUCUCGAACAACCCACACAAUCUCUUAGGCAAAAGGUUACAUUUCCCCAGUUCGACAGAUCAAUAAAUCAUGGACAACCCUAAUUAACCAGUUCGUGGCCACGAAAACCCGUGUGUCACCUGCCUGGAUGCUCGAAAGAUCAGAUGAUCGUGAGCUGCCAAAACUACAAGUUACACAUAAUUUACCACGGACAAAAGGCAAAUGUCAUAAAAUAAUAUAAAUGAUAUAAACGACACUGUCUGCGCCUAAUAAGACAGGGCGUGGCCAAGUCCAGAAUCCAUAGUCCUGGGAAAACGGCAUGGGCAUCAAGAUGCAAACUACACGAUAAAGUUAGCUGGUUUUUUUUCUUGGUUUUUGGUAGAUACUAAGCCGGUGCUCAAGGUGCGUCGAGAGCAUCAUUAAGGCAGGAAGGCAAAGGUAACUACGGGACGGGAGUCCAGACCACAAGCAACGAUGAUUUAAUUUUCCAACACGCUUUCUACCACGCCAGCAUAAAGCAUCGUUGAAUCUCAAAAUCUGGGGUUUUGAAUUUGGAUUUUUCUCGUUUUUUUUUUUUUUUGCUUUUUGGUAUUCCAUGGAUGAUCGAUGGCCUGUCGUUGAGAUGAUCACUUUCUGUAGCUGCCUAGCGGCUACUAGUUGAGAUACUUAACGACGAUCCAAGAGGGCGCCACUCGGGCCUUAUAAUUUGUUAAGAUGUUUGGAUCGAUGGAUGGAUGGAUCGAUCGAUGGAUGAUUGGGGAUGCCUGGAUUGAUUGCCCUUUCUCUGCAUAAUAUUUAUAAUUCAUAAUAAAUAAUGAGGAUCGGUCUGGCAUGGACCAAACUGGAGCUCUCGAGACGGCGACAUCGACGCCUCCAAAUGCCAAAAUGGUAUUUUUCGUUGGACAGGACGGACUUUUGGACCAAGUUUGGCAAUUUAUGCGUCCAGAUUCGUGAUGUGUGUGGCAUAUAUGAAGCCCAGUCACAAGUUGCCUUUGACAAAUUCUCCAAGAAUGUGUCCGCAAGAUUUCAGGGCAUUGCAGCGGGCAUAUCAGCAAUGUAGUGCGGUUUGUUUCACUUCACAUAAGGAUUCAGUUAAUCUAGAGAUUAAGUACCCUUCUCUGGUUGAAUAUUACAAGCUAACUAUAUACUAUAUUAAACCGAAGAAAAAAAAAUAUUUCUCUGAACUUAUUUUAUGAAAAAGUUGAUAUAUAUUGAAAUAACAAGUUAUGAAAAGUUAAAUUAUAAAAACUAAGACCUCAGCAAUCAUGUUUUUCCAGGAUCUGAUACUUAGUUGUUUUUAAUGAUUCCAAAUUGCACCUAAAUAGGUAUUUUAUGAGGCUAGUAUACUUUGAAUACUGUGAAUUUUUGUAAUAAAUGUUUCUAUUUAAAAAACUCUA
ensembl:ncRNA lncRNA:CR46451 long non-coding RNA:CR46451